rnacentral:misc_RNA from 1 species
GAUGAAGAACGCAGCGAAAUGCGAUACGUAGUGUGAAUUGCAGAAUUCAGUGAAUCAUCGAAUCUUUGAACGCACAUUGCACCUCUCGGUAUUCCGGGAGGUAUGCCUGUUCGAGCGUCAUUUGUACCCUCAAGCUCUGCUUGGUGUUGGGUGUUUGUUCCGCCUCUGUGUGUGAACUCGCCUCAAAACAAUUGGCAGCCGGCGUACUUGUUUCGGAGCGCAGCACAUUUUGCGAUCCAGAUCAACUUACAGCGGCAUCCAAGAAGCCUUAUUUAACGCUCUUGACCUCGGAUCAGGUAGGGAUACCCGCUGAACUUAAGCAUAUCAAUAAGCGGAGGA